rnacentral:rRNA from 1 species
AUCCAAGGAAGGCAGCAGGCACGCAAAUUACCCACUCCCGGCACGGGGAGGUAGUGACAAAAAAUAACGAUACGGGACUCAUCCGAGGCCCCGUAAUCGGAAUGAGAACACCCUAAAUCCUUUAACGAGGAUCUAUUGGAGGGCAAGUCUGGUGCCAGCAGCCGCGGUAAUUCCAGCUCCAAUAGCGUAUAUUAANNNNNNNNNNNNNNNNNNNNNNNNNNNNNNNNNGUCAGUUCACCGCCUGUCGGUGCAACUGGCAUGCCGUGGCAUGUCCUGUCGGUGGCUGACGGGCUUCGCGGCGCGCCCCACUCGCUCACGCGUGUGGGUCGACGCGCCGUGUCGUCCUCGUUGGCCGGCUCAAUCCUACCGCGGUGCUCUUAAACGAGUGUCGAGGUAGGCCGACACUGUUUACUUUGAACAAAUUAGAGUGCUUCAAGCAGGCUCUGAAAGCAGCCUGAAUAGUGGUGCAUGGAAUAAUGGAACAGGACCUUGGUUCUAUUUUGUUGGUUUCCGGAAUCCAAGGUAAUGAUCAAUAUCUUGGCAAAUGCUUUCGCNGUGAAAUUCUUGGACCGUCGCAAGACGCACUAGAGCGAAAGCAUUUGCCAAGUAUGUCUUAAUUGAUCAAGAACGAAAGUUAGAGGUUCGAAGGCGAUCAGAUACCGCCCUAGUUCUAACCAUAAACGAUGCCAGCCAGCGAUCCGCCGAUGUUCCUCCGAUGACUCGGCGGGGAGCUUUCCCCGGGAAACCAAAGCUUUUGGGUUCCGGGGGAAGUAUGGUUGCAAAGCUGAAACUUAAAGGAUUGACGGAAGGGCACCACCAGGAGUGGAGCCUGCGGCUUAAUUUGACUCAACACGGGAAACCUCACCAGGCCCGGACAUUGGAAGGAUUGACAGAUCGAUAGCUCUUUCUCGAUUCAGUGGGUAGUGGUGCAUGGCCGUUCUUAGUUGGUGGACUGAUUUGUCUGGUUAAU